UUGUCCGAAACCUUGGAGCAUCAUAUGGACAGACUUUGGGAGAUUCAGGCUGUCCUUACGGGACAUAGUGAACAGGGUGUAGACAUAGGCAGUGCGUCAGGCUCCGUGUCGUGAGAUGUUCGGUUAAGUCCGGCAACGAGCGCAACCCACAUCCCUAGUUGCCAGCAGUUCGGCUGGGCACUCUAUGGAAACUGCCCGUGAUAAGCGGGAGGAAGGUGUGGAUGACGUCAAGUCCUCAUGGCCCUUACGGGUUGGGCUACACACGUGCUACAAUGGCAACUACAGUGAGUUAAUCUCCAAAAGUUGUCUCAGUUCGGAUUGGGGUCUGCAACUCGACCCCAUGAAGUCGGAAUCGCUAGUAAUCGCGUAACAGCAUGACGCGGUGAAUACGUUCCCGGGCCUUGUACACACCGCCCGUCACACCAUGGGAGUUGGUUCUACCCGACGGCCGUGCGCCAACCCGUAAGGGAGGCAGCGGACCACGGUAGGAUCAGCGACUGGGGUGAAGUCGUAACGUGAUAGCCGUAAUCGAAUUUCAACCGGCCGGGCGGAR
rnacentral:rRNA from 1 species